AUGGCCGGAAGAGGGGGCGCCGGAGCGAUGUCGAAGCGGUUGAUGGAGCGGAUGCUGGGGAUGUUCCGGUCGCGGACGCAGGUGGGCGUCGACAGGGCCGGCAACCACUACUUCUCCCGCGUCGAGGAGGUCGACGGCGCCAUGAAAGAGAAGCGGUGGAUUGAGUUCAAGGGCGACCGGGACCCGACCACUGUUCCAGUUGAGUGGAUUUGCUGGUUGAAUGGACAAAGAAAGAAAGCUCCUACGCCAGAGGAAUUAGCUGAACUGGAGGCGAGGCGUGAACGCGUGAAGCAAAAUGUUGAACUUCUUAAAAAGAAAGAAGAAGAGGAAAGAAGAGCUGGUGUCCGACCAGUCAAGACAAUCGGGAAAACAGAUACUCCAAAUCUGAGAAGUUUUACACAGCAGUUCCCUGGUACAUCUGAAGAUAAAAAGAAAGGACUUGAGAAGGUGUCUAAGCCUAGUGGAGCGACUGAUGCAGAAGAUGCCACAACAGAUAAUGACAGGUCUUCCGAACCAACUGGAACUGGUGCCAGCUUUAAACCAGGGACUUGGCUGCCGCCAUCAUGA
rnacentral:rRNA from 1 species